rnacentral:rRNA from 1 species
GGGGAAUAUUGGACAAUGGGGGGAACCCUGAUCCAGCCAUGCCGCGUGUGUGAAGAAGGCCUUAUGGUUGUAAAGCACUUUAAGCGAGGAGGAGGCUCCUGUAGUUAAUACCUACAGUGAGUGGACGUUACUCGCAGAAUAAGCACCGGCUAACUCUGUGCCAGCAGCCGCGGUAAUACAGAGGGUGCGAGCGUUAAUCGGAUUUACUGGGCGUAAAGCGUACGUAGGCGGCUUAUUAAGUCGGAUGUGAAAUCCCUGAGCUUAACUUAGGAAUUGCAUUCGAUACUGGUGAGCUAGAGUAUGGGAGAGGAUGGUAGAAUUCCAGGUGUAGCGGUGAAAUGCGUAGAGAUCUGGAGGAAUACCGAUGGCGAAGGCAGCCAUCUGGCCUAAUACUGACGCUGAGGUACGAAAGCAUGGGGAGCAAACAGGAUUAGAUACCCUGGUAGUCCAUGCCGUAAACGAUGUCUACUAGCCGUUGGGGCCUUUGAGGCCUUAGUGGCGCAGCUAACGCGAUAAGUAGACCGCCUGGGGAGUACGGUCGCAAGACUAAAACUCAAAUGAAUUGACGGGGGCCCGCACAAGCGGUGGAGCAUGUGGUUUAAUUCGAUGCAACGCGAAGAACCUUACCUGGUCUUGACAUAGUAAGAACUUUCCAGAGAUGGAUUGGUGCCUUCGGGAGCUUACAUACAGGUGCUACAUGGCUGUCGUCAGCUCGUGUCGUGAGAUGUUGGGUUAAGUC